rnacentral:tRNA from 1 species
GGAGAGAUGGCCGAGCGGUUUAAGGCGCAGCACUGGAAAUGCUGUGUAGGGCAACUUACCGAGGGUUCGAAUCCCUCUCUCUCCG